CCUUCAUGAAGCCGGAAUUGCUAGUAAUGGCAGGUCAGCAUACUGCCGUGAAUACGUUCCCGGGCCUUGUACACACCGCCCGUCACACCAUGAGAGUUGGAGAUACCCGAAGCCUGUGAGCUAACAAACGAGGCAGCAGUCGAAGGUAGAAUCAAUGAUUGGGGUGAAGUCGUAACAAGGUACC
rnacentral:rRNA from 1 species